rnacentral:tRNA from 1 species
GGGCACUUAGCUCAGGGGUAGAGCGUUUCCUCGACACGGAAAAGGCCGCAGGUUCAAAUCCUGCAGUGCCCACCA